rnacentral:tRNA from 1 species
UCCCUGGUGGCUCAGACAGUAAAGCAUCUGCCUACAAUGCAGGAGACCCAGGUUCAAUGCCUGCAUUGGGAA